UUGGACUGAAGGGAGCUCCC
rnacentral:ncRNA from 13 species